AGCAGCCGCGGUAAUUCCAGCUCCAAUAGCGUAUAUUAAAGUUGUUGCAGUUAAAAAGCUCGUAGUUGAAUUUCGGGACCAAUAUGUCUGUCGUACCUUCGGUACGUACGGGUAUAAUUGGUUCCUACCUUCUGAUGAACCUUGAUGCCAUUAAUUUGGUGUCUUGGGGACUCAGGACUGUUACCUUGAAAAAAUUAGAGUGUUUAAAGCAGGCAUGCGCUUGAAUACAUUAGCAUGGAAUAAUGAAAUAGGACGUUCGAUUCUAUUUUGUUGGUUUCUAGGAUCGACGUAAUGAUUAAUAGGGAUAGUUGGGGGCAUUAGUAUUCAAUUGUCAGAGGUGAAAUUCUUGGAUUUAUUGAAGACUAACUACUGCGAAAGCAUUUGCCAAGGAUGUUUUCAUUAAUCAAGAACGAAAGUUAGGGGAUCGAAGACGAUCAGAUACCGUCGUAGUCUUAACCAUAAACUAUGCCGACUAGGGAUCGGAUGAUGUAAUUUUUAAUGACUCAUUCGGCGCCUUAAC
rnacentral:rRNA from 1 species